GAGUAGGGCGGGACACGUGGUAUCCUGUCUGAAUAUGGGGGGACCAUCCUCCAAGGCUAAAUACUCCUGACUGACCGAUAGUGAACCAGUACCGUGAGGGAAAGGCGAAAAGAACCCCGGCGAGGGGAGUGAAAAAGAACCUGAAACCGUGUACGUACAAGCAGUGGGAGCACUCUGUGUGACUGCGUACCUUUUGUAUAAUGGGUCAGCGACUUAUAUUCUGUAGCAAGGUUAACCGUAUAGGGGAGCCGCAGGGAAACCGAGUCUUAACUGGGCGUUAAGUUGCAGGGUAUAGACCCGAAACCCGGUGAUCUAGCCAUGGGCAGGUUGAAGGUUGGGUAACACUAACUGGAGGACCGAACCGACUAAUGUUGAAAAAUUAGCGGAUGACUUGUGGCUGGGGGUGAAAGGCCAAUCAAACCGGGAGAUAGCUGGUUCUCCCCGAAAGCUAUUUAGGUAGCGCCUCGUGAAUUCAUCUUCGGGGGUAGAGCACUGUUUCGGCUAGGGGGUCAUCCCGACUUACCAACCCGAUGCAAACUACGAAUACCGAAGAAUGUUAUCACGGGAGACACACGGCGGGUGCUAACGUCCGUCGUGAAGAGGGAAACAACCCAGACCGCCAGCUAAGGUCCCAAAGUCAUGGUUAAGUGGGAAACGAUGUGGGAAGGCACAGACAGCCAGGAUGUUGGCUUAGAAGCAGCCAUCAUUUAAAGAAAGCGUAAUAGCUCACUGGUCGAGUCGGCCUGCGCGGAAGAUGUAACGGGGCUAAACCAUGCACCGAAGCUGCGGCAGCGACACUGUGUGUUGUUGGGUAGGGGAGCGUUCUGUAAGCCUGCGAAGGUGACCUGUGAGGGUUGCUGGAGGUAUCAGAAGUGCGAAUGCUGACAUAAGUAACGAUAAAGCGGGUGAAAAGCCCGCUCGCCGGAAGACCAAGGGUUCCUGUCCAACGUUAAUCGGGGCAGGGUGAGUCGACCCCUAAGGCGAGGCCGAAAGGCGUAGUCGAUGGGAAACAGGUUAAUAUUCCUGUACUUGGUGUUACUGCGAAGGGGGGACGGAGAAGGCUAUGUUAGCCGGGCGACGGUUGUCCCGGUUUAAGCAUGUAGGCGGAGGUUCCAGGUAAAUCCGGUACCUUAACGCUGAGGUGUGAUGACGAGGCACUACGGUGCUGAAGUAACAAAUGCCCUGCUUCCAGGAAAAGCCUCUAAGCAUCAGGUAACAUUAAAUCGUACCCCAAACCGACACAGGUGGUCAGGUAGAGAAUACCAAGGCGCUUGAGAGAACUCGGGUGAAGGAACUAGGCAAAAUGGUGCCGUAACUUCGGGAGAAGGCACGCUGAUAUGUAGGUGAAGCCCCUGCGGACGGAGCUGAAAUCAGUCGAAGAUACCAGCUGGCUGCAACUGUUUAUUAAAAACACAGCACUGUGCAAACACGAAAGUGGACGUAUACGGUGUGACGCCUGCCCGGUGCCGGAAGGUUAAUUGAUGGGGUCAGCCGCAAGCAGAAGCUCUUGAUCGAAGCCCCGGUAAACGGCGGCCGUAACUAUAACGGUCCUAAGGUAGCGAAAUUCCUUGUCGGGUAAGUUCCGACCUGCACGAAUGGCGUAAUGAUGGCCAGGCUGUCUCCACCCGAGACUCAGUGAAAUUGAACUCGCUGUGAAGAUGCAGUGUACCCGCGGCAAGACGGAAAGACCCCGUGAACCUUUACUAUAGCUUGACACUGAACAUUGAGCCUUGAUGUGUAGGAUAGGUGGGAGGCUUUGAAGCGUGGACGCCAGUCUGCGUGGAGCCAACCUUGAAAUACCACCCUUUAAUGUUUGAUGUUCUAACGUUGGCCCCUUAUCGGGGUUGCGGACAGUGUCUGGUGGGUAGUUUGACUGGGGCGGUCUCCUCCCAAAGAGUAACGGAGGAGCACGAAGGUUAGCUAAUCCUGGUCGGACAUCAGGAGGUUAGUGCAAUGGCAUAAGCUAGCUUGACUGCGAGCGUGACGGCGCGAGCAGGUGCGAAAGCAGGUCAUAGUGAUCCGGUGGUUCUGAAUGGAAGGGCCAUCGCUCAACGGAUAAAAGGUACUCCGGGGAUAACAGGCUGAUACCGCCCAAGAGUUCAUAUCGACGGCGGUGUUUGGCACCUCGAUGUCGGCUCAUCACAUCCUGGGGCUGAAGUAGGUCCCAAGGGUAUGGCUGUUCGCCAUUUAAAGUGGUACGCGAGCUGGGUUUAGAACGUCGUGAGACAGUUCGGUCCCUAUCUGCCGUGGGCGCUGGAGAA
rnacentral:rRNA from 1 species